AGUUUUUUUAUCUGAAUUUUGUUGGAUUUCGUGACGGGUGGAGUUUUUCAAUUUGAAUUCUAUUUGAUUUGCAGUUUUAUAACCCAUUAGGACUUUCUCCUCUCGUGAGCUGAGAGAGUAAAAAGACAGAUCCGGAUCUCAUUCCACACUCUUCCAUCUCCAAUUUAAGGCUGCUGGUGCUCUGUCAAUAAAAAUUGGUUAGUUUCGAAGGCAUAGUUGGAUGGUAUUGACUUUUAUAUGUAUAUUCUGUCCAAUUCAUUGGUCAUGAUUUUUGGAGGAAAUAAUUUCCACAACUACCUUUUCGACUCAAAGUCAGGUGUAAACAUGAUUAAUCACCCUAAAAAAGACAAAAAAGAAAAAAGAAAAAAAGGGAAAGUAAAAGUUCAAAACCAUUAAUCUAUCUUUAAAGUGCCAUCUGUUUUAAAGAGUUCUAACAUCCAUAAACUUGCCAAAACCAUGUGUAACCUAGAUUUCAACAGUUGUAUACACAGUUGCAAAUAGGUUACUAUAAACAAACUGCUAUGCAUACAGAUGCUAUAUUUUAGCAUGUAAACCUUUUUUUUUCUGACUGGAUUGGGCACUAUCAGGGCACUUACCAACAUGUAUCCGAAUAAAAUGUCAUUCAAAACUCAAACCUCGAUAGAGUGGAAUGGCGGAAAAGGAUUCACUUGCU